CCUACGGGUGGCAGCAGUGGGGAAUAUUGCACAAUGGGGGAAACCCUGAUGCAGCGACGCCGCGUGAGUGAAGAAGUAUUUCGGUAUGUAAAGCUCUAUCAGCAGGGAAGAAAAUGACGGUACCUGAUUAAGCAGCCCCUGCUAACUACGUGCCAGCAGCCGCGGUAAUACGUAGGGGGCAAGCGUUAUCCGGAUUUACUGGGUGUAAAGGGAGCGUAGACGGCAGCACAAGUCUGGAGUGAAAUGCAGGGGCUGAAGCCCGGAACUGCUUUGGAACCUGUGCAGCUAGAGUGCAGGAGAGGUAAGUGGGAUGCCUAGUGUAGAGUUGAAAUGCGUAGAUAUUAGGAGGAACACCAGUGGCGAAGGCGGCUUACUGGACUGUAACUGACGUUGAGGCUCGAAAGCGUGGGGAGCAAACAGGAGUAGAUACCCUUGUAGUC
rnacentral:rRNA from 1 species